CCAGGACGCCAGUUUUGGCGGAGCCAUCCUUGGGAUACCACCCUUGUAGUACUGGGACUCUAACCAUAGGCCAUGAAUCUGGUCUUGGGACACUGUCAGGUGGGCAGUUUGACUGGGGCGGUCGCCUCCCAAAAGGGAACGGAGGCGCUCAAAGGUUCUCUCAGUACGGUCGGAAAUCGUACGUAGAGUGUAAAGGCAAAAGAGAGCUUGAUUG
rnacentral:rRNA from 1 species